AUGCGGAGGGAUCAUUAAAGAGUUCUAUAACUCCCAAACCCAUGUGAACAAUACCUUACGUUGCCUCGGCAGGUCGCGCUCACCCUAUAAGUCUUACCCUGUAAGACCUACCCGGGUGGCGCGGGUAAGCCUGCCGGCGGCCUACCAAACUCUGUUUAAUAUUGAAUUCUGAACUUAUAACUAAAUAAGUUAAAACUUUCAACAACGGAUCUCUUGGUUCUGGCAUCGAUGAAGAACGCAGCGAAAUGCGAUAAGUAAUGUGAAUUGCAGAAUUCAGUGAAUCAUCGAAUCUUUGAACGCAUAUUGCGCCCAUUAGUAUUCUAGUGGGCAGGACCGUUCGAGCGUCAUUUCAACCCUUAAGCCCCUGUUGCUUAGCGUUGGGAGCCUACGGUAACGUAGCUCCUCAAAGUUAGUGGCGGAGUUGGUUCACACUCUAGACGUAGUAAUUCUUAUCUCGCCUAUUAGUUGGACCGGCCCCCGCCGUAAAACCACCCAAUUUCUCAAGGUUGACCUCGAAUCGGUUCUGAAAAUCCACUGAACUUAAGCAUAUCU
rnacentral:rRNA from 1 species